GUAGGGAAUAUUGCGCAAUGGCCGCAAGGCUGACGCAGCGACGCCGCGUGGGUGAUGAAGUUCUACGGAAUGUAAAGCCCUGUUAGAAGGAAAGAACAGAUCUUAAGUAAAUAAUUUAAGGUUUUGACGGUACCUUCAGAGAAAGCUCCGGCUAACUCCGUGCCAGCAGCCGCGGUAAUACGGGGGGAGCAAGCGUUGUCCGGAAUCACUGGGUGUAAAGCGGAUGUAGGUGGGUCAGUAAGUCAGAAGUGAAAUACAGCGGCUUAACCGUUGAAUUGCUUUUGAUACUACUGGUCUUGAGUGCAGCAGAGGAAAGCGGAAUUCCAGGUGUAGCGGUGAAAUGCGUAGAUAUCUGGAAGAAUACCGGUAGCGAAGGCUGCUUUCUGGGCUGCUACUGACGCUGAGAUCCGAAAGCGUGGGGAGCAAACAGGAUUAGAAACCCCAGUAGUCC
rnacentral:rRNA from 1 species